rnacentral:rRNA from 1 species
AAUAUUGGACAAUGGGGGCAACCCUGAUCCAGCAAUGCCGCGUGAGUGAUGAAGGCCUUAGGGUUGUAAAGCUCUUUUACCCGGGAUGAUAAUGACAGUACCGGGAGAAUAAGCCCCGGCUAACUCCGUGCCAGCAGCCGCGGUAAUACGGAGGGGGCUAGCGUUGUUCGGAAUUACUGGGCGUAAAGCGAACGUAGGCGGCGAUUUAAGUCAGAGGUGAAAGCCCGGGGCUCAACCCCGGAACAGCCUUUGAGACUGGAUUGCUUGAACAUCGGAGAGGUGAGUGGAAUUCCGAGUGUAGAGGUGAAAUUCGUAGAUAUUCGGAAGAACACCAGUGGCGAAGGCGGCUCACUGGACGAUUGUUGACGCUGAGGUGCGAAAGCGUGGGGAGCAAACAG